UUUAACAUCAAUUUAAUUUGUGUGAAAAUUAAAUUUUACCUCGCGCCAAGUCAUAAUUUCAUGUAGAAUAUCUCUAUCAAAUUGUGUAUAUAUAUAUAUGAUAUAAAAUAAUGAUACCAAGUAAAAGAAUGGUGUUCGUCUUUUAUGAUGCUUGGUUUAUUUGUACAGAAGUAAUAUAGGACGCAUGGAAGUAAUUUAUGAAAUACUGGAAGUUCAUAUAAAGUACAGAUGUUUAUUAAUAACAUACUGUUUUAUAUACAUACAUCUUAGAAAUAUAUUUACAUCGUGUGAUGUCAAAUGUGGGUACAUAUAAAAAUAUUUUAAUUCACGUAUUUACAAAAUAUUUUAUAUUUAAUAAAGCACUCUUUACUUUAAUUAUUGUUCUUAAGAUCGUUUUCAUUUCUUAGCGUUUUAUUAAAAUUGAGCAAAUAGAUAAAAAAUACGCUUAAUCUAUUCUAGCACAGUUCGUUGUUUGAAGCGUUCUGAUGGAGUUAACAGGUAAAUAUAAGAUAUCUACUACUUAAGCAAUGGUGUAUUAAUCCCUUGCCGUACCAUUUUCUUCACAGUUAUAAUGAUUAGAACUUUUACUAUUGUAAUCAUUUUUUUAGAUGAAACAGACAAUUUAAGUAUAUUUAUUGUGUGCUUACAUUUAGUUGAAUGCGCAAAUAUUGAUACCAAGAGAAAACAAUUUUAUUUCGCGACUCGAAGAGACAGAAUAACAUUCUUAUUUAACUCCUUAACAGUUUUCAAUCGUAUAAACUUUAUUAAAUUCGAAACUACGUUUAAUUUUUUAUGCGUCCACAUGAAGGGAAUAAAAGAACGUUAGUCGUCUAUCCACAAUUAUGUGGAAACGAGUUCAAAAAUUGAUUUAUGACGCGUAUAGAUGGAGAUUGUUAUGCGUUAAGGGAUUAACAGAUUAUUACUAAAAAUCGCCAUCAUUCAGUAGUUAACACGUUAAGUGUCAUGUUAGGCACCGAUGACCGACGAUAUCAAGUAUAAAAAAUUAUAUAUUCCUCUGCAUAAAUAAAUUCUAAAUAAUUUGGUUACCAUAAAAGAAGGUUUCACGGUAUGUUAUAACGCGGGUUAAAUGGAAAGGAAGAGAAAAGAGGCUUUUGGCACUCAAUGUGUUGAACUCGUCAAAGUACGGCAAGGGGUUAAUGUCGAAUUAUUAAACAAUGUUCUUUGCUUUUGCGGCUAUUGCAUGUUUCCCGCAAUUUAAGAAGUAUAUAAAUUACGCAUUUAAUAUGUGUCUACUUAUUGAUAUAUAGUCAGAUUUCUAUGAAAAAAUUAGAAAGAUAUUCCACUAUAGAGAAAAUGAAAAAGAUACUUAAACUUAUCUAUAGGAACAGAAAUAUUAUACAAUUUAUACUGUACAUGAAAGGAAUGUGAAAAGCGGAAAUAGAAAAGUAGAUAUGUUGUAUAAGUGAAACUGUACAAAUAAAUAAAUUUUGCGACUGACAUUUA